rnacentral:rRNA from 1 species
AUUGAACGCUGGCGGCAGGCUUAACACAUGCAAGUCGAGCGGGGUGAUGGUGCUUGCACUAUCACUUAGCGGCGGACGGGUGUGUAAUGCUUAGGAAUCUGCCUAUUAGUGGGGGACAACAUCUCGAAAGGGAUGCUAAUACCGCACACGUCCUACGGGAGAAAGCAGGGGAUCACUUGUGACCUUGCGCUAAUAGAUGAGCCUAAGUCGGAUUAGCUAGUUGGUGGGGUAAAGGCCUACCAAGGCGACGAUCUGUAGCGGGUCUGAGAGGAUGAUCCGCCACACUGGGACUGAGACACGGCCCAGACUCCUACGGGAGGCAGCAGUGGGGAAUAUUGGACAAUGGGGGGAACCCUGAUCCAGCCAUGCCGCGUGUGUGAAGAAGGCCUUACGGUUGUAAAGCACUUUAAGCGAGGAGGAGGCUCUUUUGGUUAAUACCCAAGAUGAGUGGACGUUACUCGCAGAAUAAGCACCGGCUAACUCUGUGCCAGCCGCCGCCGUAA